UGGGGAAUUUUGGACAAUGGGCGAAAGCCUGAUCCAGCAAUGCCGCGUGUGUGAAGAAGGCCUUCGGGUUGUAAAGCACUUUUGUCCGGAAAGAAAUCCUUGGCUCUAAUACAGUCGGGGGAUGACGGUACCGGAAGAAUAAGCACCGGCUAACUACGUGCCAGCAGCCGCGGUAAUACGUAGGGUGCAAGCGUUAAUCGGAAUUACUGGGCGUAAAGCGUGCGCAGGCGGUUUGCUAAGACCGAUGUGAAAUCCCCGGGCUCAACCUGGGAACUGCAUUGGUGACUGGCAGGCUAGAGUAUGGCAGGAGGGGGGUAGAAUUCCACGUGUAGCAGUGAAAUGCGUAGAGAUGUGGAGGAAUACCGAUGGCGAAGGCAGCCCCCUGGGCCAAAUACUGACGCUCAUGCACGAAAAGCGUGGGGAGCAAAACAGGAUUAGAUACCCUGGUAGUCCACGCCCUAAAACGAUGUC
rnacentral:rRNA from 1 species